rnacentral:lncRNA from 14 species
GUCCUGACUGAGACAUCACCUCUCCUGUAGCCUCUUGAAACCACUGGAAAAGAAUACAAAAGAAAAUGCCCAGUGAAGAGAAAGUGAAGCAGCAGGCAAAGUACAGAAGAAGAGGUACCAUACAUACCUGUUGAACCUUCUCAUAUCUUCCUGACUGGCUUCACUGAUUCCUGAGGUCACACAAUACCUGGUUUCCUGUUUUAAGGCAUAUAAACUAAGUCAUCUGGAAUUGUGCAACUCCUUUUGCCAGGAAGCUGGAAAAGCCCCUUUCCUGUGCAGAGAGAAAAAUACAGACUCAUCCCAACAGCUGAGAAAUUGCAGAAAUACAGCAUUCGUCUUUGGGUUGCAUUUAUAUAGCAAAGAGCUAUGGCUAAUAAUUGUGCUUCUUACUGUUAAAAAUUCUACUUUUAUCCUGUCCAAGGUGUUAUGUUUAUUUAAAACUUGAGAAAAUAAAAUUGUACAUUUAAAAAAAAGAAACCA